rnacentral:rRNA from 1 species
GUCCACGCCGUAAACGAUGGGCACUAGGCGCUUGGGGAGCGACCCCCGAGGGCCGGCGCUAACGCAUUAAGUGCCCCGCCUGGGGAGUACGGCCGCAAGGCUGAAACUCAAAGGAAUUGACGGGGCCCGCACAAGCGGUGGAGCAUGUGGUUUAAUUCGACGCAACGCGAAGAACCUUACCUAGGCUUGACAUACACGGGAAACCUCUCAGAAACGGGAGGCCCUCUUCGGAGCCCGUGCACAGGUGCUGCAUGGCUGUCGU